UACAGAGGGUGCAAGCGUUAAUCGGAAUUACUGGGCGUAAAGCGCGCGUAGGCGGCUGCCUAAGUCGGAUGUGAAAGCCCCGGGCUCAACCUGGGAACUGCAUUCGAUACUGGGCGGCUAGAGUAUGAGAGAGGGAGGUAGAAUUCCACGUGUAGCGGUGAAAUGCGCAGAUAUCCGGAGGAACACCGGUGGCGAAGGCGGCUUCCUGGACCGACACUGACGCUGAGGCGCGAAAGCUAGGGGAGCAAACGGG
rnacentral:rRNA from 1 species